CCGCUUCAGCCAUAUCCUGUUCCCCACAAGCCGCUGGACAGCACGCAACAGGAAACAAAUGAAGGUUUGAUAAAAACUUACAAACAAGCAAGCAUUUUACCACUGCACAUCUUGAGAAAACACAGUUACUUCCCACUAAUCUCUACUCAGCCUGACUGGGAGAACAGUUUAAAAGCCACCAAGAGGAUUGUCUGAGAGGAGGUGACUGGUCGUUAAGACAUCAUUGAUUUUUAAAGUAAUGUCAAGAUACACCCAUAACAUCUCACAAAGAUGCCUUCCCAACAUAUGUGCUGAACAAGGGCAGCACCAACAGCCAUGCCAGCGAUGAUGGAGAGAAGCCCAUAAAGGAUGUGUAGCAAAGAACUUCUGGCAACUAAAUGGACCUGGGAGCAGAAGAGGUUGCCCUUGCCAGAGGAGAGCAAACCCAUUGGUUGUCCAGUGACAAAUGCUCAGAUAUGAAAAUGUAUAUUUACAACAUAGGUUUGACUUCAAUGUAACUUGGCCUAGCUAGUAUAAUGUAGUGAAACAUUCUGAAGAAAUAAACAACCAUCAUUUUGACUUUAUUUGAGGAAUAUAAAUAUUGUUAAUAGUAUGUUAACAUUUUUUUAAUGAUGAAAUUUUAUCUUUACUGAAUAUCAUAUAGUUUUUUUUCUUAAUUUUGUACAUAUAACAGGUAAUUUAUGCCUAGCUGUUAAAUAAAUCUUUAUCUUCCAGGAAAUUUUUUAAGUUGUCAUUUGACUAUGAAAUUACACCAGUGUUCAGAAAUAUUCUAGCUACUGAUAUCACCUAGCAAACAGAAAUAUGAUUUAAUUAAAAAUUCCAGGCUAUGAAUCUACUUAAGAAACACUGAUGAAUUAAUUGCUUUUUUAUCCUUUUUUUUUUUUUAGCUAAUUUAUCCUCUCACAUAUACAUCCCAAAGCAGUUUCCCCUCCAUCCUCUCCUCCCAUUUCCUCCCACAGCCUUCUCCCUUCCUAUCUUUGCCUCCUCCAUUUCCCU